UCCGAGCUGGAGGAGCACGUGUACGUCGGGGAGGCAGCAAGGCCAGCACGCCGUUGGUCCGUCCUUCCCUGGUUCCUCCCCAAGCGCCACGAAGAGGAAGAGAUAAUGGUGAAGGAGAAGGGGACUGAGAAGGAAAGGGUGGCGGUAAGGAGAAUGUGAAGGCAAAGGCAAAGGAAAAGAGUGUGAAUUACCUAAUUAGGCAAGAUUCGGCGCUGCCUCCGCCGGUUCCGGGGAAGAAGAGGAAGCCUAAGGUGCAGAUUAGGAAGGCGAAAGACUUUCCCAAUGCCCCAAUGAGAGAGUUGAUUUGUAGGUUAAAAAACACCCUCCACCUCCUCCGCGUCUCGCCGACCGCACCGGUGCCGGCGUGUGUGCCGCGGAAGCCGCUGCCUCCGGCUCUGCAACCUGCACCGAGCUGCCUCAUGCAUCUACUAUUGUGGUAGAUGAUGAGGAGAAGGAGGAUGACGAGGACGAGGACUUGGACAUGGAUGAGGACAAGGACAAGGACGAUGAGGAAUAUGAGGAGCAAAAUCUGUUUAUAGUCCCGCCACAAGCGAGUGCUGAUAUGUCGGAUGAUGAUACAUCAAACGGGUAUAAGGAAUCAGCUGAUGAACUUGAAGGUGACACUAUGUCCGAGGAAUCACUUGUGCAUGUUGUGUUAUGUUAAACUUGUCAAUUGACAUGGACUUGGAAUUGUCAUUGCAAGUUUGUAAUCAUGUCAUUCAAUGAUGAUAAGACAUUAUGUUUGUGGAUGUGAUAUUUGUGCUUAACCUGAUUUGUGCCAUCUU